GUCUCUUCUUGUGUCGUCUGUUUGGCGCUAUAGUACUUCAGCCAUUUAAUGAUGCUCUCUCCACACUGGGAUAAAUAAAAACAAACACAUCACAUCUAAUGUGGACAUAUCAGAUGCCUUGUGAAACAUAAAGGAACAAUUCAGUUUCGAGCUAUGGCACUUGCCGCAUAGAUGUGGGGGGGCCUUGCACCAAUAGUGAUAGUUACCACUGCAUUUAGAAAUUGAAAGCAUUCGUGCAGACAAGGAUGAUUCUUUAUAUUUUUGGCUACCACUUCAAAUGCCUCCACCAAGUGUUACAAUGCUGCACGCAGCCAUACUAAGGAUCUCGCAACAACACCUGCAGGUAAAAAGCAGAAGCAGUCAAAGUGCUGGUGUGUUCUGGACACUAUGUUUGAAAACUUUUAGGCAAGAAGAGUGCAAGAAGCAGACAUAACUGCAUUUAUUUCCAUAAUUCCCCAUUUAAAUGGCCUUUUCUUUUUGCUUAGACAAUGCCUACGCCUAGCCACAGCAGCUCCCUCAUACAGACUCCGCAAACCAAGAGGCCGUGGAGGCAAAUGCAGGCAGCCAGCACACCUCGAACAGCCACCUUGACUGCGAGUGUGUCACCCUAGUCGCCAAGGAAACAUUUGAGGGAAAGUGACAGGCAAUGUGAACAGCCACUCCUCCAUGUAAACAAUACUCUUUCUCUCGGAUGACUCCUACGCCUCACCACGCCAGCACACUUGUGCACAAAGAUGCCGCAGAGGCACGUGCAGGUCAGAGGCAAGAAGCAGUGGCACUGGUGUCGACAUUUACCCAAUUUCUUUUUCUUACACUGAGGCAGCCAGCACACCUCGAACAGCCACCUCGACUGCGGGUGUGUUAGUUGAUCCCUGUUGUACAUAUGCUCAUAAUAAACUUCAGUAAACUUGAACUUCAUAAUAAACUUGAAGGCAAAUGGUA